ACACAUUAUUAUUGGAGCAGAAAGAAAACUUUGAUUUUCCAAACGCUUCUCUUUAGAGAGGUUUAUUGCUGCUGCUAGAAGAGAUUUGCAUCUAGGGAUCCUGUGGACAGACCAGAACUGGGUUAAAUAAUCGAGCCAUAAAGAAGCAAGACAUGCCACUCCUCUCCAUGAGAAACUCAUCCCAAGACAGGAGGUUGAAAAGCACGUUCAAUGGUUGCAGUGUCGGUUACCCACUUUCUGUUUCUCAGCUUCACAUCCACCCUCCUUUGCCCUGCUGGAUUCUGGGGAUCUUGCCAGAUGGAAAAUGUAACUCUUCAUCAACAAAGAGCUCAGGAGUGAAAUGAAGGUGAUGGAGGCAAGUAGACUCUUCUCUGUUGGGUUUCUACCAGUUCUCCAUUAUUUUUAUUAUUCAGUGAUGGAGCUUCUGUUGCAUCCUUGAUGCAACUACUUCCCUAGAAUCAACCAUCUGGAAGCAGCUCUAUCCUGCUAUACUAUACGCAAUAUGGCUUUUUUAUUAGUUAACUACUUCCUAACUGUUGAAAAUCCUUCAUAUACAUAUUUCUUUGUUUAAAUUAUUGAUGUGAUGGGCACCGAGGCUCCUUCC